AGAGUUUGAUCCUGGCUCAGAUUGAACGCUGGCGGCACGCCUUACACAUGCAAGUCGAACGGUAACAGGCUCGAGUAAUCGAGUGCUGACGAGUGGCGAACGGGUGAGUAUAACAUCGGAACAUACCUUGUAGCGGGGGAUAACAAAUUGAAAGAUUUGCUAAUACCGCAUAAUAUCUGAGGAUUAAAGCUGGGGACCGAAAGGCCUGGCACUACAAGAUUGGCCGAUGCCUGAUUAGAUAGUUGGUGAGGUAAUGGCUCACAAAGUCUACGAUCAGUAGCAGGUCUGAGAGGAUGAUCUGCCACACCGGAACUGAGACACGGUCCGGACUCCUACGGGAGGCAGCAGUGGGGAAUAUUGGACAAUGGACGCAAGUCUGAUCCAGCGAUGCCGCGUGAGUGAAGAAGGUCUUCGGAUUGUAAAGCUCUUUUACUUGGGAAGAAAAAUGGUCGACUAAUAAUCGAACACAAUGACGGUACCAAGAGAAUAAGCGCCGGCUAACUAUGUGCCAGCAGCCGCGGUAAUACAUAGGGCGCGAGCGUUAAUCGGAAUUAUUGGGCGUAAAGAAUUUGUAGGCUGUCGUGUAAGUUGAAUGUGAAAUCCCUGGGCUUAUACCUAGGAAUUGCGUUCAGGACUACACGGCUAGAGUAUGUGAGAGGUAAGUGGAAUUCCUAGUGUAGCAGUGAAAUGCGUAGAUAUUAGGAGGAACACCAGUGGCGAAGGCGACUUGCUGGCACAAUACUGACGCUGAGAAAUGAAAGCGUGGGGAGCAAACGGGAUUAGAUACCCCGGUAGUCCACGCCGUAAACGAUGUCAACUCGUAUUUGGAUCUUUGGAUUCGGGUACUAAGCUAACGCAAUAAGUUGACCGCCUGGGAAGUACGGUCGCAAGACUAAAACUCAAAGGAAUUGACGGGGAACCGCACAAGUAGUGGAUGAUGUGGAUUAAUUCGACGCAACGCGAAAAACCUUACCUACACUUGACAUACCACUAACGAAGUAGAGAUACAUUAGGUGCCCUUCGGGGAAAGUGGAUACAGGUGCUGCAUGGCUGUCGUCAGCUCGUGUCGUGAGAUGUUGGGUUAAGUCCCGCAACGAGCGCAACCCUUGUCCUUAGUUGCUAACAUUAAGUUGAGCACUUUAAGGAUACUGCCAGGGAUAACCUGGAGGAAGGUGGGGACGACGUCAAGUCAUCAUGGCCCUUAUGUGUAGGGCUUCACACGUCAUACAAUGGUCGGUACAGAGAGCAGCCAACCCGCGAGGGGGAGCAAAUCUCACAAAACCGAUCCUAGUCCGGAUUGGAGUCUGCAACUCGACUCCAUGAAGCUGGAAUUACUAGUAAUCGCGGAUCAGCACGCCGCGGUGAAUACGUUCCCGGUUCUUGUACACACCGCCCGUCAUACCAUGGAAGUUGUUAUCAUUAGAAGUGAAUAUUUUAACCGCAAGGAGGAAGUUCACCACAGUGGUAGCGAUGACUGGGGUAAAGUCGUAACAAGGUAACC
rnacentral:rRNA from 1 species